UUUUUUCCACAGGUUUAUCAGAAGCUGGGAUUUCUCUUCUCUCUAAGUUGGCAGAAGCUGGAGCUAACAGCGGGAACUCAUGCUGCUCCCUGGAUUCAAACCUGCAACUUUUUGGUGAGCAAGUUCAGCAGCUCAGAGGUUUAACCCACUGCACCACCGGGUGCUCCGAGUACAUUCACACUCAAUGUUAAAAAAAGCUAAAGGCCUUGUCUCCCAGCCCCAUAGCAGAAUGUCUGUAGUUUUUGAGGAGUGCUGACAUUAUGAAACAUCAUUCACCUUCUGCCUGCUAUCAGCAAGGGCCCUUUCACAGUACAUAUUGAUAGCACUAUAGUUCCACUUUUGCUGCUUUGGUUACAUCCUAUAGCACUGGCUCUCAACUUGUGGGUCGUGGCCCUUUGGGGGUAAAAUGACUCUUUCACAGGGGUCACCUAAGACCAUUGGAAAAUGUCAGGUUUUACAAUGUAUUGUAAUGUAAUAUAGCUGAGUCAUGCACUGCUAAUGGGCUUCUAUUGGAAAUGCUGAGUCAUGCAUUAACUGUAUAUAGGGAAUCAUUUGGGGAAUGUGUUCUGGCCUAGUCCAGGUGAUUGUGAAUGAUGUAAUCCUGGGUCUGAGUUAAGUUAAUGAGUUGGGAACCAAUCAGAGAUUGCUAUGUGUAAUUGUAUAGAAUUGUAUAUAAGGAAGUCAUGUACAGUGUAUAUUUCUCCUUGUGCUGUGAUGUUGUUCGUCGAAGGCUAUAUGUAAUUAAAAGAACCUGUCUGCUAAGACAAGAUAUAA